ACUGGACACAUACAUCAUUUUAAUUUUCACUAUGAAUAUCUUUGCAAUAAAUGAACAAAUGUGCCCCAGAUGACUUAAUAACAAAAUAAAGCCUCCUCCACAGCAAGCAGAGAAAUAAAACCUGCUUCCCACAUGCCUGGGAAAAAAGAUGGCCUUGCAAUGCGCCCAGAAAGUAAACAAAGUUGCACUCGGAGAGGAAUUCCAACCAAGUCAGAUAUGGUAGAGGCAGAGACAUGAACAUACGGAGUUACAUUGUAGUCUCUGUCUCCUCACUAACCCUCCCAACAGCCUCUUAUACCCAUUGAGCAACAGGAAGGACAGAAUAGACCCCUAUGUUAUCUUACAUGCAGAGGAGCAAUUGCCCACCCAUUACCCUCUAACUCCUCUCAGGGAAAUAAAAAUGGAGGCACCUAGGAGUGAUGCUGUCCCACCCAAGCUGGAGUCCAAAGAUAAGUCUGCAGAAACAUGUGGUCAGUGGGGGUAAAGGCUGCUGACAGAGCUAAAAAGGAGAGCAUGGACACUUGGGACCUGAUUCUUCUCCCACUUGUUCCAAUUUACAACAGUGCAAAACACCUCACCCCAAGAGUUACUCCUGAUUAACAGAGGUGUAAGUGUGAGGAGAAUCAGGCCCUUUAACAUAAUGAAUGGACAAGAGGAGAUCAAUUACUAGUGCUAUAAGAGCAGUUUCUACCCCACACCCAGGAUUGACACCUGCCUGACAGAAGUCAAAGAAAUCUGCAGAUUCAAGAAAUUUCCGGAAUGGCUCUACUACAACCUUUUCAGUGACUAAUCCCAACACAGUAAAAGGUUUCAACCAGGCCAAUUGUUUAUCCUCAUUGAAUUUUGGUUUCUUGAAUAGAGGCCAGUGUGACACUCCAUACCUCAAAGUAGCACCCUGAAAGCCCCAUAUUCACUACUGUUUUCUAAUUAUGAUAUGUUUUGUACAAAGUAUACCUUGUGAGGUAUCAUUUUAAAAGUCUCAAUCUGUUAAACAUUAAUAUCCUGUUGGAUUGUAAGUGCUAUCAUUAUAUGUAAAUUUAUGAAGUAUUGCUAUAUGUGUUAGUGAAAUAUAUUGUGAGGUUGGGAACACUCAUAACCAGCCUUUCAGUUACACCAAAGGAGUAGCCAUCAAUAGCCAGAUGGCAUUAAUGACUCAUCAACACACAAUCCACUAUUCCAGAGAGUCCUUAGAGAAGGCACAUACACAAUAGAGACUGCUUGACCAAUGGGGACUGAUUGACCUCCCUUGUCACAGCAAAGAUCUUUCUAACUGCUGGACAGAGACAGUGACAUCAUCACUUGGCCUCUCUCUCUCCCCCCACCCAACUCAACACCUGGAAGGAUGUCUGGAGGACAAAGACUUUGAACUGAGGAAGUUUGGUCCCAAGCGGGAAGGUAGUUCCAGCCUUGUACCAUUUGUCAGGGUUGAUAACAUCUAGAAUAAAAGGACUGGAGAUUUCAGGGCCACAGCUGUCGUAGAAGGGCAAUCAAGAAACUGUACCAUGCAGCUAUUGAUACACACUGCUCUCUCAGCUCCAUCAUCAUCGUCCUACUUUUGGAAGAGGCAAAAAUGGGUUAUGGAAAUAAACCAGGACAUGUAAAGUUGCUGGGGAGAGAAUGCCGUGGAGGCACAUUAUGUUAUAGAAACAAGCUGACGUUCACAGAAAGCAGAAGAGGAAAUGGAUAACUGAAAGCGGAGGAGCCUGGACUCAAUGAGAGAAGAAAUCAUGUUGUUCUCCUAAUUUUAUUUACCUUGAAACAGAAGAGCUUUGAUAUGGCAUAGUUUUGUAACUUGGAACUUUGUUUUUAUUUUUGUUUGGCAAUCUAAUCUCCCAGUGACAAGUACACAUUUUCUAACAUAUUUGAUGAACCUUGAGUCUUCAGACUAGUAAACAAAUUUCCACAAACAAACCACCUGAAAAAGUAUAUAUAAACUGACAAUACUGCUAGAGAAUAAGAAAUAUGUAACCCAUUUUCCUAUAUAUUUUAUUACAAGAAAAGUAUACAUUAGCAAUAGAAGUGCCAGAACCACCAUUUCCUAUACAUUCACAGGUAUAUUUUCAGCACAGUAUUGGGCAUUAGAUGUCUCAAUUCUCAUUACUGUAAACAACUACCACUGACUUCAGUGGGAAUAUAGGAUCAAGGCUCUAAUUUGUGACUUUUUCCCUUUCCUUUGAGAUGCACACACAUGCCAGUUUCCCACCUACAAACAGAACAGGGAAGCCUAUAAAACAGUCACACACAAAAUAGUACACAUCAAUCACCUGUCCUGCCCACACACGGCUUAGACAAGGGGAAAAAAGCAUGUAAAAUGUAAGUAAUGUGUAAUCAGAUUUUCAAAUCAGUUUUAUAAUUUCAUUAGAAAGUAAUACAAGCUCCCUAGAACUUGAAGUGCACAGCAAUGUCAAUAAAAUGCUUGUGGUGCUUUACAGAUCAUGUGGCAUUACGGAGUCCCUCCCUCACCCCCAAAAUCCUAAACUAUAUUUUUCAAGCUUUUGCCAAAAUUUAAGCAUUGAUCUAAAAAUAUAUUUAUUCUGGUUCUUUUUUCCCUGAUUUUAGCAUAAUAUUUUUUUUAAAAAUUGUUUCUUAUAAACAAUUAUAGCAAAACCAAGAAAUAGGCAGCAGCUUUACAGCCAGUAUCUCAACUGCGGCAGCUUUCAGCAUUAUUGAAAGCAAAUUAAACCUGCUGGUAAGCCUAUGUGCAACUCUGUUUGACUAAUCGCCUCAAGAACUCCAGCACUGCAACACUAGCUACAGUAUUUCUGAAUCUAUUUCACAGCUGCUCGUAUUGUUAUGAUGUUCUUGUAGAGUUAAGCCAAAUCUUGGCUAUUAAGAACUACAUUUUUAAUAAAAUAAUUAUUAAUAAGUUAAUAAUAAUUAUAUGUUGAUAGGCCUUCCUCUUGCUUAGGGUUGCUGUACAACAGAAUAAAAACAAAUACACCUCUACCCCGAUAUAACGCUGUCCUCGGGAGCCAAAAAAUCUUAUCAUAUUAU